rnacentral:rRNA from 1 species
UACGUAGGGCGCAAGCGUUAUCCGGAAUUAUUGGGCGUAAAGAGCUCGUAGGCGGUUUGUCGCGUCUGCCGUGAAAGUCCGGGGCUCAACUCCGGAUCUGCGGUGGGUACGGGGCAGACUAGAGUGAUGUAGGGGGAGACUGGAAUUCCUGGUGUAGCGGUGGAAUGCGCAGAUAUCAGGAGGAACACCGAUGGCGAAGGCAGAUCUCUGGGCCGUAACUGACGCUGAGGAGCGAAAGCAUGGGGAGCGAACAGG